AUGCCUAUCGCAAAAUUAGCGGAGAAGCUGCUUUGCCAAAGGCUGGGUAUCAUAGAGGAAGGUGAAAUGAUGACUGAGGAGGGCAUCAACAAGUAUGUCGCAUUGUUCAAUGGUAAACUGCCAGACAUUGCGGUGGCGGCUUUGCGUGCACUGUUCAAGCUUGACUGUGACCUGGCCACUGCUGUCGAAGACGCCCUAGUUGAGCAUGGUGGCGACACGGCCCCAGACCUACAGGCCAUGGGAAGUGAGGAGGCCACGGCGACGACAUGA
rnacentral:rRNA from 1 species